rnacentral:rRNA from 1 species
AUUGAACGCUAGCGGGAUGCUUUACACAUGCAAGUCGAACGGCAGCGCGGACUUCGGUCUGGCGGCGAGUGGCGAACGGGUGAGUAAUGUAUCGGAACGUGCCCAGUAGCGGGGGAUAACUACGCGAAAGCGUAGCUAAUACCGCAUACGCCCUACGGGGGAAAGCAGGGGAUCGUAAGACCUUGCACUAUUGGAGCGGCCGAUAUCGGAUUAGCUAGUUGGUGAGGUAACGGCUCACCAUGGCGACGAUCCGUAGCUGGUUUGAGAGGACGACCAGCCACACUGGGACUGAGACACGGCCCAGACUCCUACGGGAGGCAGCAGUGGGGAAUUUUGGACAAUGGGGGCAACCCUGAUCCAGCCAUCCCGCGUGUGCGAUGAAGGCCUUCGGGUUGUAAAGCACUUUUGGCAGGAAAGAAACGUCGCGGGCUAAUACCCCGUGGAACUGACGGUACCUGCAGAAUAAGCACCGGCUAACUACGUG